rnacentral:rRNA from 1 species
UACGGGGGGGGCAAGCGUUGUCCGGAAUCAUUGGGCGUAAAGAGCGUGUAGGCGGCCCGAUAAGUCCGCUGUGAAAGUCCAGGGCUCAACCCUGGAAUGCCGGUGGAUACUGUCGGGCUCGAAUCCGGAAGAGGUGAGUGGAAUUCCUGGUGUAGCGGUGAAAUGCGCAGAUAUCAGGAGGAACACCGGUGGCGAAGGCGGGUCUCUGGGGCCGAUACUGACGCUGAGGAGCGAAGGCGUGGGGAGCGAACAGG